rnacentral:rRNA from 1 species
UACAGAGGUCUCAAGCGUUGUUCGGAUUUAUUGGGCGUAAAGCGUGCGUAGGCGGCGGGGUAAGUGAGGUGUGAAAUCCCGGAGCUUAACUCCGGAACUGCACUUUAUACUGCCUUGCUCGAGGGCUGGAGAGGAGACUGGAAUUUACGGUGUAGCAGUGAAAUGCGUAGAGAUCGUAAGGAAGACCAGUGGCGAAGGCGAGUCUCUGGACAGUUCCUGACACUGAGACACGAAGGCCAGGGGAGCAAACGGG